AGUCGGCUGUACGGUCGCGCGGCUUUGCCGUGAGGAAAGUCCGAGCCCCGCAGGGCAGAAUAACAGCUAACGGCUGCCGAGGGUGACCUCAGGGAGAGUGCAACAGAGAUAUACCGCCGAUAAGAAAUUAUCGGUAAGGGUGGAAAGGCGAGGUAAGAGCUCACCGCGUCUGCUGGUAACUUCAGACGCCUGUAAACCCUAUUCGGAGCAACGCUGACUGCAGCGAUACACUUGCCCGGUGUGCUGCGAAAAGCGGCUUGAGCGGAAAAGCGAUUUUCCGUCGAGAUAGAUGACCGUAUUCAACAGAACUCGGCUUACAGGCCGGCUCG
rnacentral:RNase_P_RNA from 1 species